UUGUAUGUGGUGUAAUGAGCACAUUAGCUUUUCAUGCUAAAGUUAUACUUAGUAUUAUACACA
rnacentral:tRNA from 1 species